UUCGCAAUGCCCGAAAGGGUGAACGAGCGACGCCGCGUGCGGGAUGAAGGGUUUCGGCUUGUAAACCGCUUUUCUUUGGGAAGAAGGUCUGUCUCGUGCAGAUGGGCUCGACGGUACCAGAGGAAUAAGCACCGGCUAACUACGUGCCAGCAGCCGCGGUAAUACGUAGGGUGCGAGCGUUAAUCGGAAUUACUGGGCGUAAAGCGUGCGCAGGCAGCUUUGCAAGACAGAUGUGAAAUCCCCGUGGCUCAACCUGGGAACUGCAUUUGUGACUGCAAGGCUAGAGUACGGCAGAGGGGGAUGGAAUUCCGCGUGUAGCAGUGAAACGCGUAGAUAUGCGGAGGAACACCGGUGGCGAAGGCGGCUUGCUGGGCCAUCACUGACGCUGAGACACGAAAGCGUGGGGAGCAAACGGGAUUAGAUACCCCGGUAGUCCUAGCCGUAAACGAUGGGCACUAAGUAGAGGGGUUUU
rnacentral:rRNA from 1 species